CUCGUGCUUGCGCGUAUUCAGCUUUGCCUCAAUGCAAGUUUGAGCAAUUAUCAGCUGCUGGUGAGGCAAGAUGAUUUAGCAGUCCACAAAGAGAGAGCAGAGCGUCAGGAUGUUCUCUCUGCCGAACGUUAUCGACUAUUACCUAAAACUAGAAUGAACAUUGCGAUUUUCUGAAAAGCACCGGCGCAGAUUAACAAAAAACGACUUGAAAAACCUCAGUGAUAUUUGCGUCUUCAGGUGUGACUUCAUUACGGGUGCAGUUCCAGGUGGUUCUGUGCGUUCUAAUUCGCUGAGAGGGUGCAUAAAGUCUGAGGAUGGUCCCGAAGUUGUGUUUGCGGAUGGUACUGAUGAAAUAUGUCGCUCGAUGUCAAGCUCUGCUGUGCGCCGGGGCUGAACCUGUUUUCUUCCUGCAUUAAAAAAUUGUGCUCUGUUUUAAGCCUUUC